UGGGGAAUAUUGCACAAUGGAGGGAACUCUGAUGCAGCGACGCCGCGUGAGUGAUGAAGGAAUUCGUUUCGUAAAACUCUGUUCUAUGGGAAGAAAAGGACUGUACCAUAGGAGAAAGCUCCGGCUAAAUACGUGCCAGCAGCCGCGGUAAUACGUAUGGAGCGAGCGUUGUCCGGAAUUAUUGGGCGUAAAGGGUGCGCAGGCGGCUUUACAAGUUGGAUGUGAAAUAUUGUGGCUCAACCACAAACGUGCAUCCAAAACUGCAAAGCUUGAGUUAAGGAGGGGUAAGUGGAAUUCCUGGUGUAGCGGUGGAAUGCGUAGAUAUCAGGAGGAAUACCGGUGGCGAAGGCGACUUACUGGACUUAAACUGACGCUCAGGCACUAAAGCGUGGGGAGCAAACAGG
rnacentral:rRNA from 1 species